UACGGGGGGGGCAAGCGUUGUUCGGAAUUACUGGGCGUAAAGGGCUCGUAGGCGGCCAACUAAGUCGGACGUGAAAUCCCUCGGCUUAACCGGGGAACUGCGUCUGAUACUGGAUGGCUUGAGGUUGGGAGAGGGAUGCGGAAUUCCAGGUGUAGCGGUGAAAUGCGUAGAUAUCUGGAGGAACACCGGUGGCGAAGGCGGCAUCCUGGACCAAUUCUGACACUGAGGAGCGAAAGCCAGGGGAGCAAACGGG
rnacentral:rRNA from 1 species